UACGAAGGGGGCUAGCGUUGUUCGGAAUCACUGGGCGUAAAGGGCGCGUAGGCGGCCGUUCAAGUCGGGGGUGAAAGCCUGUGGCUCAACCACAGAAUUGCCUUCGAUACUGUAGAGCUUGAGACCGGAAGAGGUAAGUGGAACUGCGAGUGUAGAGGUGAAAUUCGUAGAUAUUCGCAAGAACACCAGUGGCGAAGGCGGCUUACUGGUCCGGUUCUGACGCUGAGGCGCGAAAGCGUGGGGAGCAAACAGG
rnacentral:rRNA from 1 species